AUGGCACGGCGCAGCCAGAGGGCAGCAGACGGGGUCAGACGCCGGCGCAUGCUUCCGAGCCUGGCAUCUGGCUUGCCAGGUUGGCCGCCACAUGCAGCGGCGCGGCACGAGCAGUUCGCUCCGGGAAUGCCGGGCUGCCUACCCCAAUAUCUGAACGGGAAGAGUAUCCAUCUUGGACCGACGGACGGAUGCCGAGGCGGUCGGUGCAGGUACGGUACGGCGCGGCCGGAUAGAGUAUACCUGAUGCGAGCGCGCACGAAGCUUCCCCGCUCCUUCCUUCCUCUCCAGGGCUCCAGCUACGAGGAGCCGAACCACCGCUGCACGCACGUGCGCCUCUGCGCGCCCAUCUGUCGCUCACGCGCUCGCCUGCGCCGGCCUGACAGGCAGGAAAUCCAAGCGGCGACGAACUGGCCACUGCCUCGGUGGCAUAGUUAA
rnacentral:rRNA from 1 species